rnacentral:rRNA from 1 species
CACAGGAAACAGCUAUGACCAUGAUUACGCCAAGCUUGGUACCGAGCUCGGAUCCACUAGUAACGGCCGCCAGUGUGCUGGGAUAAAAGCUUACCAAGCCGACGAUCUGUAGCUGGUCUGAGAGGACGACCAGCCACACUGGGACUGAGACACGGCCCAGACUCCUACGGGAGGCAGCAGUGGGGAAUUUUGGACAAUGGGCGCAAGCCUGAUCCAGCCAUGCCGCGUGCAGGAUGAAGGCCUUCGGGUUGUAAACUGCUUUUGUACGGAACGAAAAGACUCUGGUUAAUACCUGGGGUCCAUGACGGUACCGUAAGAAUAAGCACCGGCUAA